rnacentral:rRNA from 1 species
UACGUAGGGUGCGAGCGUUGUCCGGAAUUACUGGGCGUAAAGAGCUUGUAGGCGGUCUGUCACGUCGAUUGUGAAAACUUGCAGCUCAACUGCAAGCUUGCAGUCGAUACGGGCAGACUAGAGUACUUCAGGGGAGACUGGAAUUCCUGGUGUAGCGGUGAAAUGCGCAGAUAUCAGGAGGAACACCGGUGGCGAAGGCGGGUCUCUGGGAAGUAACUGACGCUGAGAAGUGAAAGCGUGGGUAGCGAACAGG